ensembl:lncRNA
GCCAUUAAAAAACCUUCAUCCUGGGUCGCCGAUCCCCCAGAAAGGGCUUUAAGUGCCCUAACUGCAAGAAUUUCCAAAAUGCAUCGCACAAGUUUUGCAGUAACUGUGGGAAUAAGUUGGCUCCUUCUGCCAGCACAAAAAGUGCAAACGAAAGAGAUGCAAACCUGAGUUUGGAGAUGGAGUCUGGGAAAGAACUGAGGAUGGAAAGCUUUUCUUCUUUGGGAUCCUCGGCUGAGCAACAGCCACCCACUGAGGAAGCAGAGAAGGAGUCAGAAGAAUCUCUGCCAGAGGGUCAAGGCUCAUUGUCACAGAGAAAAAAGAAGAAGAAGAAAAGGAAGCAUGCAGACUUGGAACGUCAGGACUCUUCAACAACAUCCUUAAGUUCAGUCUCAUCCAGUGUUGAUUAUCCUUCAAGUCUAAAAGUGGCAGGCACAGAAAGCCCACCAAAACAAAGCCAAAAUUCAGAAGCUGAAUUGACCAAAGCAAACACCGAGUCCACUGGUGAGAGCAGGGAUCAGAUUAACAGCAGUCCCUUGAAAAUAAAUCAGAGUGCAGAAAGUGUUGCAGAAAAUCAUGAGGGCAGUAAUGAUAUCAAGCCUGAGUUGGAGCAUGAUAGUAAAAAAAGUACAGAAGAUCAGCAGGCUAGAGGUGCAUCUACAGGGGAGAAAGUGGAGGAGGAGAGCUCCCAAAAGGAUGAUACAGUUUGUGGAAAGACGGGUUCCAACAAGGACUGUGGAAACAGUGCUGUGGCAAAUGACCAGUCUCUGGGAAGUAUCUUGAAUACUCAGACUUUGGUUGGUGCCUUGGCAGAGGGAGUUGCAGAGAACAUAUCUCCAGAUUUUCACUUUGAUGUAGAACCUUCUGAAAAGAGAGAUGCAAAAUUGAGUGCACAAGGCAAGAAACAGGAAAUGAAAGGGACAAAAUCUGAAAUGAAAGACAGUCAGAAAACCAAAGUGGAGGAGGCAGCCAAGCAACAGAGCAGUGCUUCAGUUCCAAAGAACGCAAAGGUAGAGGAAGUAUCUAACGCAGAAAAAGCCAGUGAAAAAGUACAACAAGCAUCAACUCCAAUCCAAUGUUCUGAUCAGGGAAAGAUGUCUUCUGCUGAAAUUAAAAAGAAGCAAACAAAUCAGAGAGCUAAGAAGCAAGGCGUAAACAAAGAAGUUAAACAGAGGUACGGCAUAUUAACAGUCUGGAUUAGAUGGAAAUGAUCAAUAACAAUUGCUGAAUAUUUAUGUGUAGAUUGGGUUUCCUGUUUUCUCCUGGAAAGAAAGAAGACAAAAGUUUCACUAAAUCUGAAGCUAUGAAAAAUACCUCACAUAACUUUUGUUCUUCUUUGUGGUCUCUGUGAAUGCACACAAUUGAGUUUUAAUGCAUCUGCACAUAGACUCUUGGAAACUUCUAACACAUGUUGUUAGGAUCUCCCUCCUGUCACACGUACCCCACCCAUGGCAUGGAGUGCCUCAGUUCCUGUUUUGCCUCCUCUACAGCAGCACCUCGGUUACGGAGCUUCUAUUCAUUCUGUGAAAAUAAAGAUCUCUUCAGGACCUUCCUCCA